CGAAAUGGAUGGAUCGGUAUUUGGAGAAGGUCUUACUCUUUUGGGUGAAAGGUUACUACGAAACAUCUAAUAGUUGAACUUACUCUCCUGGAUCAUUCUAAUGUUGAACUCCAUGGAGCCAAUUUGUUGUGUAUAAAAAAUAAUUCAGUGCUUCUCUUUUAGUCUUUGCUAUCAUGAUGGAACAUGUUCUAUUUUUUGUUAUCUCCUUGCUAUUCCUUCCUAUUUAAUUUAUUCACAUGAGGCAAAAAAAUUAAUUACAAUAUAAUUACCCUAUACUGCUUGUGUUGCACAAUUACAACUCUACUUUCUAAUUCGUUAAUGUAUGUCGCUGAAGCUAAGUGAAUUUUUUUUUAGCAAAAACAAAAAAGCUAAGUGAUAUCAAACUUGCAGCCAGUUAAAUAACAUGCUACUAUGUCAAACCCUUGAGCAACUGAUAAACCUGCAAAGAAUUCUGCAGAACCUUCACAUCUUAAUUGUAGCUGUAAUAAAUAAUGUAACCUGUAGGAGGGGAUUAAGGUUCCCGGA
rnacentral:lncRNA from 1 species